AUACUUACAAAUUUAAACAAAAUAUUUGCAUACAACCACAUUCGGCAAACAAAUAACAACAAAUGAAUGUUUGCGUUUGAACCGAGCGAAAUUAGCGACUUAUCAAGCUACAUCACUCCAGCAACCGCAGCAAACGCCAAUGGCACUACUAGUCUCAUCUACCCCUCUGCCAACGGACAGAUGUAUCGCGUACAUCCGGCCACAACUGUGGCGAAUGUCCCGUCAGCGCAAGCGAAUAGCACGGCCAUUGGCAGCAUCAGCAACGCCAGCCACGCCAGCAACAACAGUAACAAUAACAGCGGCAUGGAUGUAGUGGACGGUCAUCACAGCGAGGGCGGUAAUGGAGGCAGGGAUAGCAACACGUCAAGUGGAUUCUCGCAACGGCUACGUGAAUUGGCGGCAUCUGCGGGACUCUUAUCGUUGAAACCACGACAGCCGCUGAAGCCAGUCAUUAAAACGCGCGGCUCACCAGGUCCUGAAUUUCCGAAGAAGGUCACUUUCAGCGCCUUUGCCACGGUUCAAGUAGUGUAGGGAAGGCGGUAGAUGGCAAUCAAUAUAGCUAAAAAUUAGGUGUGGCCAAUAGGCGCUGACGAUCACAAUUUGCUUUGUUAUAUUAUUGUUGUUAUUUGUAAUUGUUUAUUUUUGUUUAUUGUAAUUGUAAAAAAUUCUAACUGAUGAAGAUGGCUACUUAAAUUACUUUAUGUACAUAUAUACAUAUAAACGCAGUUAGUAAGCAUAA